CCCUUCAUUCAUUGGUGACAGGAAUUCAAAAACAAUUUAAAUUCACUGAAUCCUAGAAUCCCCCAGUUAAUUUAGAUCUAGAGUUAAAAUCAUAAACUACACUAAACUAAGUUUUCAAAAACACUGACCACUGUUAUUCUUCUCAAACAUAGAGCUCACUGUGGGAUGUAUACUCUUUCGUGAAAUCCCUAUUGCAUAACCUUCCUAAUCUUAAUUCACAAUGAAAGCUUUUUCAAAGCGCAUGCAAUCUCCGUUCUUGAGCAGUUCUAGCUUACAGAAGACGUGACCUUAGAUAGGAGGUUAUGGAGGACUCAUAUUAGGAUGACACACCAUAAUGUUGGGACCCCUGUGAUUUCGGAAACCAGGGAGAAUAAAUCACUUGCUGGAAUUAUAGAAAAAGAGAUAACCUCAUCAGGUACAUUCCAUCAGAUCGUAUUAUAAGUAUGGUGUCCAUCAGAGACGUUUUCCGUGUUGUUUUGAGUGAGCAUAGGGAUGAGCUGAACCGUUUAAAUGCCUAAAUAUAUACAAGGUCGUUAAGAGAUGAUAACGAUGUAAAUAAAUUGACCAUUUUCUUGUAAAUAUUGGCGUGCUUGGGUUUUCUAGUGAUGUGCCUCUGGAUGUGGCUGUACAACAUUACUUUUCCAGUUUUUAGUGUUCUUAUAACUGGUAGUUGUUUAAUAUGGUAGUUUCUUUCUUUAAAUAGAAGAAAGGUGUUCAUCUUG